AAAAUCAAUAGUUUUUUAAUUGGAAACUUGAAUGAAAGAGUUGAUAAAAUAUAAAUUGUCUUAAUUUAAUUAAAUUGAAUUUAAAUUAAAAGUAAAAAUGCUUUUAUUUUUUUAUUAGACGAUAAGACCCUAAGAAUUUUAUUAUUUAUAUUUAAAUAGAAUUUUAUGAUAAAAAAUUUAAUUUUAAAUAAUUUUAUUGGGAGGAUAAUUAAAUUUUAAACUUUAAUUAAUUAAUAAUAUUAAUAAAUAUAUUUUAAUGAAUAUUUUAAAGAUUAUAAGGAUAAAUUACCUUAGGGAUAACAGCGUAAUAAUUUUGGAGAGUUCAUAUUGAUAAAAUUGUUUGC
rnacentral:rRNA from 1 species